AGUGAACGCUGGCGGUAGGCCUAACACAUGCAAGUCGAACGGCAGCACAGAGGAGCUUGCUCCUUGGGUGGCGAGUGGCGGACGGGUGAGGAAUACAUCGGAAUCUACUUUUUCGUGGGGGAUAACGUAGGGAAACUUACGCUAAUACCGCAUACGACCUACGGGUGAAAGCAGGGGACCUUCGGGCCUUGCGCGAUUGAAUGAGCCGAUGUCGGAUUAGCAAGUUGGCGGGGGAAAGGCCCACCAAGGCGACGAUCCGUAGCUGGUCUGAGAGGAUGAUCAGCCACACUGGAACUGAGACACGGUCCAGACUCCUACGGGAGGCAGCAGUGGGGAAUAUUGGACAAUGGGCGCAAGCCUGAUCCAGCCAUACCGCGUGGGUGAAGAAGGCCUUCGGGUUGUAAAGCCCUUUUGUUGGGAAAGAAAUCCAGCUGGCUAAUACCCGGUUGGGAUGACGGUACCCAAAGAAUAAGCACCGGCUAACUUCGUGCCAGCCGCCGCAGUAAGAC
rnacentral:rRNA from 1 species